AGAUUGAACGCUGGCGGCAUGCCUUACACAUGCAAGUCGAACGGUAGAGUAGCAAUACUCGAGGGUGGCGAACGGGUGAGUAAUAUAUCGGAACGUGCCCAGUCGUGGGGGAUAACGUAGAGAAAUUUACGCUAAUACCGCAUACGAUCUAAGGAUGAAAGCGGGGGAUUCGCAAGGACCUCGCGCGAUUGGAGCGGCUGAUAUCAGAUUAGGUUGUUGGUGAGGUAAAAAGCUCACCAAGCCGACGAUCUGUAGCUGGUUUGAGAGAACGACCAGCCACACUGGGACUGAGACACGGCCCAGACUCCUACGGGAGGCAGCAGUGGGAAUUUUGGACAAUGGGCGAAAGCCUGAUCCAGCAAUGCCGCGUGCAGGAAGAAGGCCUUGGUUGUAAACUGCUUUUGUACGGAACGAAAAGGCUCGUUUCUAAUAAAGAGGUCCAUGACGUACCGUAAGAAUAAGCACCGGCUAACUACGUGCCAGCAGCCGCGGUAA
rnacentral:rRNA from 1 species